AACGAACGCUGGCGGCAUGCCUAACACAUGCAAGUCGAACGAGACCUUCGGGUCUAGUGGCGCACGGGUGCGUAACGCGUGGGAACCUGCCCUUAGGUUCGGAAUAACUCCCCGAAAGGGGUGCUAAUACCGGAUAAUGUCUUCGGACCAAAGAUUUAUCGCCUUUGGAUGGGCCCGCGUUGGAUUAGCUAGUUGGUAGGGUAAAAGCCUACCAAGGCGACGAUCCAUAGCUGGUCUGAGAGGAUGAUCAGCCACACUGGGACUGAGACACGGCCCAGACUCCUACGGGAGGCAGCAGUGGGGAAUAUUGGACAAGGGGCGAAAGCCUGAUCCAGCAAGGCCGCGUGAGUGAUGAAGGCCUUAGGGUUGUAAAGCUCUUUUACCCGGGAGGAUAAUGACAGGACCGGGAGAAUAAGCUCCGGUUAACUCCGU
rnacentral:rRNA from 1 species